rnacentral:misc_RNA from 1 species
GCACCUACCGAUUGAAUGGUUCGGUGAAAAUCUCGGACUGCGGCUUGGAUGCCUUCGGGCAGCCAAGCUGUGGAAAGUUGUUUAAACCUCAUCAUUUAGAGGAAGGUGAAGUCGUAACAAGGUUUCCGUAGGUGAACCUGCAGAAGGAUCAAUAUCGUUUGAGCGUCGUUUCGGGUACGAGUGUAUUUCUCGGUGUUCUCCGUUUCCUUUAAAAUAUCACUUUUCUUUCUCUUCUUUUUCUCUUCUUCUUCUUCUCUUCCUCUUCUCUUUUCUUCUU